rnacentral:snoRNA from 1 species
GCACCAAAUCUUUCCCAUUCCUUACUGCUCAGUGUGGGCCUGGGGACACAUGGUGCUGAGAGCAAAGCAGAGCAAAUCCAGACAGGUGACUCUUCUUUGAGUACCUGUCUCUACACCUCUGCAACAGUG